UACGGGGGGGGUAAGCGUUGUUCGGAAUUACUGGGCGUAAAGGGCUCGUAGGCGGCCAACUAAGUCAGACGUGAAAUCCCUCAGCUUAACUGGGGAACUGCGUCUGAUACUGGAUGGCUUGGAUUCGGGGGAGGAAUGCGGAAUUCCAGGUGUAGCGGUGAAAUGCGCAGAUAUCAGGAGGAACACCGGUGGCGAAGGCGGGUCUCUGGGCCGAUACUGACGCUGAGGAGCGAAAGCGUGGGGAGCGAACAGG
rnacentral:rRNA from 1 species